rnacentral:misc_RNA from 1 species
GAUGAAGAACGCAGCGAAACGCGAUAGUUAAUGUGAAUUGCAGAAUUCAGUGAAUCAUCGAGUCUUUGAACGCACAUUGCGCCCCCUGGUAUUCCGGGGGGCAUGCCUGUCCGAGCGUCAUUGCUGCCCAUCAAGCGCGGCUUGUGUGUUGGGCCGCCGUCCGCCUUCCCCCCCGGGGGGAGGGGGACGGGCCCGAAAGGCAGCGGCGGCACCGCGUCCGGUCCUCGAGCGUAUGGGGCUCUGUCACCCGCUCUGGAGGCCCGGCCGGCGCCCGCCGACCCCCAACCUUCUUCUAACCAGGUUGACCUCGGAUCAGGUAGGGAUACCCGCUGAACUUAAGCAUAUCAAUAAGCGGAGGA